GCUCAGACACUCAAGGAAUUGACGGGGCCCGCACAAGCGGAGGAACAUGUGGUUUAAUUCGAUGAUACGCGAGGAACCUUACCCGGGCUUGAAAUGCAUCUGACCGGCCUUGAAAGAGGUUUUUCCCCUUCGGGGCAGAUGUGUAGGUGCUGCAUGGUUGUCGUCAGCUCGUGCCGUGAGGUGUCGGCUUAAGUGCCAUAACGAGCGCAACCCUCAUCAUUAGUUACCAUCAGGUAAGGCUGGGGACUCUAAUGAGACUGCCAUCGUAAGAUGUGAGGAAGGUGGGGAUGACGUCAAAUCAGCACGGCCCUUACGUCCGGGGCGACACACGUGUUACAAUGGGUGGUACAAAGGGCAGCUACCUGGCGACAGGAUGCUAAUCUCCAAAACCACUCUCAGUUCGGAUCGGAGUCUGCAACCCGACUUCGUGAAGCUGGAUUCGCUAGUAAUCGCGCAUCAGCCAUGGCGCGGUGAAUACGUUCCCGGGCCUU
rnacentral:rRNA from 1 species